AGCAUCCUGCCUUGUGCGAUUUGUUGCAGCUUUAAAUAAUCCUACUAAUCAAAUUCAGGGAGCCCGGAGUUGACCGCCGGACCGCAGACCUCCCGCCCAUCAAGGGGAGCACGGAAGAAGGGAGUGGAAAAGCGGCCACAGGGCACCCACCUGCCAUCCGGUAGGUUUUGAUUGGCUGCAGACGGCAAGGCGGGGCUAUU
rnacentral:other from 1 species